rnacentral:rRNA from 1 species
ACUAAGGAGCUUGCUCCUUAGUUUAGUGGCGGACGGGUGAGUAACGCGUGAGCAACCUGCCUUUCAGUGGGGGACAACAGUUGGAAACGACUGCUAAUACCGCAUAAAAUAACGAGUGGGCAUCCACAUGUUAUCAAAGAUUUAUCGCUGAAAGAUGGGCUCACGUCUGAUUAGUUAGUUGGUGGGGUAAUAGCCGACCAAGACCGCGAUCAGUAGCCGAGCUGAGAGGCUCAACGGCCACAUUGGGACUGAGAUACGGCCCAGACUCCUACGGGAGGCAGCAGUGGGGAAUAUUGGGCAAUGGGGGAAACCCUGACCCAGCAACGCCGCGUGAAGGAAGAAGGCUUUCGGGUUGUAAACUUCUUUUAAGAGGGAAGAAAAAAAUGACGGUACCUCUUGAAUAAGCCACGGCUAACUACGUGCCAGCAGCCGCGGUAAUACGUAGGUGGCAAGCGUUGUCCGGAUUUACUGGGUGUAAAGGGCGCGUAGGCGGGCUAGCAAGUCAGAUGUGAAAUACCAGGGCUUAACCCUGGGGCUGCAUUUGAAACUGUUAGUCUUGAGUGAUGGAGAGGCAGGCGGAAUUCCUAGUGUAGCGGUGAAAUGCGUAGAUAUUAGGAGGA